rnacentral:rRNA from 1 species
GACGAACGCUGGCGGCGUGCUUAACACAUGCAAGUCGAGCGGUAAGGCCCUUUCAGGGGUACACGAGCGGCGAACGGGUGAGUAACACGUGGGUGACCUGCCCUCAGCUCUGGGAUAAGCCCGGGAAACUGGGUCUAAUACCGGAUAUGACUCCAUGACGCAUGUUGUGGGGUGGAAAGCCUUGUGCGGCUGAGGAUGGGCCCGCGGCCUAUCAGCUUGUUGGUGGGGUGAUGGCCUACCAAGGCGACGACGGGUAGCCGGCCUGAGAGGGCGACCGGCCACACUGGGACUGAGAUACGGCCCAGACUCCUACGGGAGGCAGCAGUGGGGAAUCUUGCGCAAUGGGCGAAAGCCUGACGCAGCGACGCCGCGUGAGGGAUGACGGCCUGG